UGGCCACCCUACUUAGCUUAGGCUGGAGGGGGGGACAGCACAUCUGUCCUCCUGUGCCCUCGCCACCUCCUCACACCCUUCCCUGUCCUAGGAGGAGAAACCCUCUCUGGCAGCCCUCCUUCAGGAAAGUCUGGACAAGAUCCAGCUCACCCGCCGCAUCCUCGACUUGAAACAGGAGGAGCAGCAGUUCCAGAGUCUGCACGAGGAGCUGAACGGCCUGGGCCAGAAGCUGGAGAAACAAGGCAAAAGCGAGAGCAGGAGCAUCUCUGCCCGGCGCAAGCACCUCAACAAAAUGUGGCUACGGCUCCAGGGGACCCUGAAGGAGCAUCACGAGGCUCUGCAGCUGGCUCUGGAGGUAGCUGCCUUCCUCCAGCAAGCAGAUACCCUUCUCGCAGCCAUCCACGCCAAGUGGAGGAGUGUCUGCGAUGCGGGAAAGCAAGGGGAGGCUGAGCCAGGCCGGGAUCGGGAUGUCAGAGACAUGGCCAGCCAGGUGAUGAUGCUGGAUGUGACAGUUUCCCAGCUCCUCAGUCUUCAGCCCAGCCUGGCAGCGCAAGUCACGCACAAGCACCGAGAUGUCAAGGAGAGUUGGGCUCAGCUCCAGCAGGUGCUGAGGAAUGAGAAGUCUCCUGCGCUGGCUCCAUCGAGCAGCUUCUCAAGGGGCGAAGCUGCUGCUCUGAACCAUGAGUCCCGAGGAGACGGUAGCAGCCAUGGGGCAGCGGGCAAGGAAGCAGGAGACAAGCAGAAAAGAGGUCCUGGAAGCACAGUACAGAAGGACGUUGGAAGGAGCGUGGCGGAGCAUGCGAGAGGCGAGGAGAGCGGCCCUGGCUGUCCCACAGCCGGGCAACCCCCUCCCGGAAGCGACAGCAAGAGGAGGAAGAGGGUGCCAGGACGCCCGGAGGGCGAGUGGGGCACCCAGCAGCCGGAGGCCCAGGUGCAGGACUUCUGCCAGGCUGCGAACGCGGCCAUGUCCCGGCUCAAGGAGAACGUGGGUCCCAGCAUCCACCUGCAUCCAAUGGAGGAUGCAGAGAGCCUGGAGGCAGCGCAGACGCAGCGGGCCGCACUGCAGCGAGAGAUCCUGGACAACACCUCCAGCAUCGAGGCUGUGCUCCUGGAAGGGCAGAAGCUGCUGGGUGCAGGGGCCCGGGGAAGCCCGCAGGUGGAGGCCAUGCUGCAGGAGCUGGGGGAGCUCUGGGAGGACCUGCAGAGGAAGCACCAGGAGAACGGGGCUGUGCUGAGGGAAAUUGAUAAGGUAUGUGGAGGCAGGGCUGGAGUGGGGCUCGGGGAUGGACAUGGGGAGACGUCUUCAUCACGUCAGGCUGCGGGGGGUGGCUUUGCCCCCUGCACCCUCUGGUCCUUCUGGCCUAAGGGGGUGUGGACCUGGCCUGACCUCCACUUGGAUCAGCGAGCAAGGUUGGUGCCCGUGGGGGCAGGAUCCACAGGGUCAGCAGUGACAUCUCUGGCUGCU
rnacentral:lncRNA from 1 species